rnacentral:rRNA from 1 species
UACAGAGGUGGCAAGCGUUGUUCGGAAUUACUGGGCGUAAAGGGCGCGUAGGCGGCUUGGUCAGUCCCGUGUGAAAUCCCUCGGCUCAACUGAGGAACUGCACGGGAAACUGCCUGGCUUGAGUUCGGGAGAGGGAAGCGGAACUCCGGGUGUAGCGGUGAAAUGCGUAGAUAUCCGGAGGAACACCGGUGGCGAAGGCGGCUUCCUGGACCGACACUGACGCUGAGGCGCGAAAGCUAGGGGAGCAAACGGG